rnacentral:rRNA from 1 species
GACGAACGCUGGCGGCGUGCUUAACACAUGCAAGUCGAACGGAAAGGCCCUGCUUUUGUGGGGUGCUCGAGUGGCGAACGGGUGAGUAACACGUGAGUAACCUGCCCUUGACGUUGGGAUGACUUCAGGAAACUGGGGCUAAUACCGGAUAGGAGCUCCUGCUGCAUGGGGGGGGUUGGAAAGUUUCGGCGGUUGGGGAUGGACUCGCGGCUUAUCAGCUUGUUGGUGGGGUAGUGGCUUACCAAGGCUUUGACGGGUAGCCGGCCUGAGAGGGUGACCGGCCACAUUGGGACUGAGAUACGGCCCAGACUCCUACGGGAGGCAGCAGUGGGGAAUAUUGCACAAUGGGCGGAAGCCUGAUGCAGCAACGCCGCGUGCGGGAUGACGGCCUUCGGGUUGUAAACCGCUUUCGCCUGUGACGAAGCGUGAGUGACGGUAAUGGGUAAAGAAGCACCGGCUAACUACGUG